rnacentral:rRNA from 1 species
GAUGAACGCUGGCGGCGUGCCUAAUACAUGCAAGUCGAACGCUGGAGCUCUAGCUUGCUAGAUCGAAGGAGUGGCGAACGGGUGAGUAAUACAUAAGCAACCUACCCACGAAGACUGGGAUAAUCUCUGGAAACGGGGACUAAUACCGGAUAGGUAAUCGGAAGGCAUCUUCUGGUUAUUAAAGGUUAAAAACACUGGUGGAUGGGCUUAUGGCGCAUUAGUUAGUUGGUGAGGUAACGGCCCACCAAGACGAUGAUGCGUAGCCGGCCUGAGAGGGUGAACGGCCACAUUGGGACUGAGACACGGCCCAGACUCCUACGGGAGGCAGCAGUAGGGAAUUUUCAGCAAUGGGGGCAACCCUGACCGAGCAACGCCGCGUGAGUGAAGACGGCCUUCGGGUUGUAAAGCUCUGUUGUAAGGGAAGAACGGUAGAUAGAGAAUAUCUAAGUGACGGUACCUUACCAGAAAGCCACGGCUAACUACGUG